rnacentral:rRNA from 1 species
UCGGGAUGACGUCAAAUCAUCAUGCCCCUUAUGACCUGGGCUACACACGUGCUACAAUGGUUGGUACAACGAGUUGCGAGUCGGUGACGGCGAGCUAAUCUCUUAAAAGCCAAUCUCAGUUCGGAUUGUAGGCUGCAACUCGCCUACAUGAAGUCGGAAUCGCUAGUAAUCGCGGAUCAGCACGCCGCGGUCGAAUACGUUCCCGGGCCUU